ensembl:miRNA
GGCGGCAGGGCCCCGGCAGGACAAAGUCUCUCUGUGGAGGGCUGCUCAGAGCCGGCUUUGUCCUGCCGGGC